rnacentral:tRNA from 1 species
CAGGGAGACAAAACUGAUUAUGAUGUCUGAUUAAAAAUUUAGGCCUUAAUCCUGUCACCUUAGGUCGAUCGGUACCUCAGAUUGAUAACUAUAAAUUUGGAAGUAAUUCCUAUAAUUUUUUGUUUUCAGUUUUAGUUCCUAAACUUGUCUAGGUCACACCCAACAAACUUUCUCCUGGGCUAUUAGCUCAGGCGGUCAGAGCGCACCCCCGAUAAGGGUGAGGUCCCUGGUUCAAGUCCAGGAUGGCCCAUUCGUUGUUGGGGGUAUAGCUCAGUUGGUAGAGCGCCUGCUUUGCAAGCAGGAUGUCAGCGGUUCGAGUCCGCUUACCUCCACUGAAAACUACCCUGAUAACUAAAUUUCAGGAGAAAAUUUGUAAAAGUGACUUAGGUAUUGUCUAUCUGAAAAGAUCCUAGCUUCUUAUCAUCUUUAUUUAUAGUUGAUAAUAUGCUGGGCUCCCAUGGAUCUUUUUCCAUGAGAAUUCAGUAGAACCUUGAAAACUGCAUAGAUUGAAAGAAUAAAGCAUCUCAUGGAUGCAUAUUUUUGAGUUGAUUUUUAUCUUUAAAAUAUAAAAAUCAAUUUUCAGAAUACAUGUUUAAUUCUUGAGUAAAAGCCAAGCACAAUUGAUUUUGUGAUUGUAUUUAA